rnacentral:rRNA from 1 species
UACGUAGGGUGCAAGCGUUAAUCGGAAUUACUGGGCGUAAAGCGUGCGCAGGCGGUUAUGUAAGACAGAUGUGAAAUCCCCGGGCUCAACCUGGGAACUGCAUUUGUGACUGCAUAGCUAGAGUACGGUAGAGGGGGAUGGAAUUCCGCGUGUAGCAGUGAAAUGCGUAGAUAUGCGGAGGAACACCGAUGGCGAAGGCAAUCCCUGGACCUGUACUGACGCUCAUGCACGAAAGCGUGGGGAGCAAACAGG